CCUACGGGGGACAGCAGUGAGGAAUAUUGGUCCAUGGGAGGAAUCCUGAACCAGCCAUGCCGCGUGCAGGACGACGGCUCUACGAGUUGUAAACUGCUUUUGUACCGGGGUAAAAUGCCUUACGUGUAGGGUUUUGACAGUACGGUACGAAUAAGGAUCGGCUAACUCCGUGCCAGCAGCCGCGGUAAUACGGAGGAUCCGAGCGUUAUCCGGAUUCAUUGGGUUUAAAGGGUGCGUAGGUUGUUUUAUAAGUUAGCGGUGAAAUACCGAUGCUCAACAUCGGGGCUGCAGCUAAUACUGUAGGACUAGAGAUCGGAUGCAGCAGGCGGAAUGUGUAGUGUAGCGGUGAAAUGCAUAGAGAUUACACAGAACACCGAUUGCGAAGGCAGCUUGUUAGGACGGAUCUGACACUGAUGCACGAAAGCGUGGGGAUCGAACAGGAUUAGAUACCCUUGUAGUC
rnacentral:rRNA from 1 species